rnacentral:rRNA from 1 species
GACAGAGGUGCCGAGCGUUAGGCGGAAUCACUGGGCUUAAAGCGUGUGUAGGCGGACUUCUAAGUACCUUGUGAAAUCCCACGGCUUAACCGUGGAACUGCUUGGUAUACUGGUUGUCUUGGGCCAUCUAGGGGCUAGCGGAACAAACGGUGGAGCGGUGAAAUGCGUAGAUAUCGUCAGGAACGCCGAUGGUGAAGACAGGUGACUGGGCCGGAACUGACACUGAGGCACGAAAGCGUGGGGAGCGAACGGG